rnacentral:rRNA from 1 species
UACGAAGGGGGCGAGCGUUAUUCGGAAUUAUUGGGCGUAAAGGGCGCGUAGGCGGCUUGGCAAGUGGAUGGUGAAAUCCCUCGGCUUAACCGAGGAACUGCCGUCCAAACUGCUUAGCUUGAGACCGGGAGAGGUGAGUGGAAUUCCCAGUGUAGCGGUGAAAUGCGUAGAUAUUGGGAGGAACACCAGUGGCGAAGGCGGCUCACUGGACCGGUACUGACGCUGAGGCGCGAAAGCGUGGGAGCAACGGG